AACUCGUUUGUUUUAUGUUUUAACUUUUUACAAUUUUUGAGUAAACUAGGUACCCAUAUUUUACUAUCAAAUUUCAUGGUUUUAGGUUUCCAACGAAUAUUUUAAUAAGAGGUGAAUGGGUAGCGGCUGUAAGACUGAGAAAAUGACCACGAUUAUGCUGGCCAUGCGCACAAAGUCAAUUUAAUACGAUUAGUGAUUGAAAAAUAUUUGAACAUAAGACUACAUCAUAUUAGUAAAAUGCAAACAAUGACGAUGACUCUGAGUUCUAAGUGACAAAAAUUUAAAAAACUUAUACAACAUAAAGGAUUCUAGGUUUA
rnacentral:misc_RNA from 1 species